rnacentral:rRNA from 1 species
AUUGCGGGGCGGUCCUUUGCAUACUUUGCAAGGCAGCUGUUGGCCAGCUUGGCGAUCUCUCUUGCUCCUCUCAUGGAGUAUCUCCCUUCAAGCCUUGUGUCGAUGAUCUUGCCGAACUGUUCGCUGUCGGCUGGGUGCCGCCUCACCCACUCCAGGAGCUUCUGUUCGUUCUUGGGGCGUUUUUUCUCUACCGAGCAUCGAGCCGUGAGGAUUUCAUACAUUACCACUCCGAAGCUCCAGACGUCGCUCUUGGUGGUGAGAUGCCCUGUCUGGACAUAG